AAAUUGAAGAGUUUGAUCAUGGCUCAGAUUGAACGCUGGCGGCAGGCCUAACACAUGCAAGUCGAACGGUAACAGGAAGCAGCUUGCUGCUUCGCUGACGAGUGGCGGACGGGUGAGUAAUGUCUGGGAAACUGCCUGAUGGAGGGGGAUAACUACUGGAAACGGUGGCUAAUACCGCAUAACGUCGCAAGACCAAAGAGGGGGACCUUCGGGCCUCUUGCCAUCAGAUGUGCCCAGAUGGGAUUAGCUUGUUGGUGAGGUAACGGCUCACCAAGGCGACGAUCCCUAGCUGGUCUGAGAGGAUGACCAGCCACACUGGAACUGAGACACGGUCCAGACUCCUACGGGAGGCAGCAGUGGGGAAUAUUGCACAAUGGGCGCAAGCCUGAUGCAGCCAUGCCGCGUGUAUGAAGAAGGCCUUCGGGUUGUAAAGUACUUUCAGCGGGGAGGAAGGUGUUGUGGUUAAUAACCACAGCAAUUGACGUUACCCGCAGAAGAAGCACCGGCUAACUCCGUGCCAGCAGCCGCGGUAAUACGGAGGGUGCAAGCGUUAAUCGGAAUUACUGGGCGUAAAGCGCACGCAGGCGGUCUGUCAAGUCGGAUGUGAAAUCCCCGGGCUCAACCUGGGAACUGCAUUCGAAACUGGCAGGCUUGAGUCUUGUAGAGGGGGGUAGAAUUCCAGGUGUAGCGGUGAAAUGCGUAGAGAUCUGGAGGAAUACCGGUGGCGAAGGCGGCCCCCUGGACAAAGACUGACGCUCAGGUGCGAAAGCGUGGGGAGCAAACAGGAUUAGAUACCCUGGUAGUCCACGCCGUAAACGAUGUCUACUUGGAGGUUGUGCCCUUGAGGCGUGGCUUCCGGAGCUAACGCGUUAAGUAGACCGCCUGGGGAGUACGGCCGCAAGGUUAAAACUCAAAUGAAUUGACGGGGGCCCGCACAAGCGGUGGAGCAUGUGGUUUAAUUCGAUGCAACGCGAAGAACCUUACCUGGUCUUGACAUCCACAGAACUUUCCAGAGAUGGAUUGGUGCCUUCGGGAACUGUGAGACAGGUGCUGCAUGGCUGUCGUCAGCUCGUGUUGUGAAAUGUUGGGUUAAGUCCCGCAACGAGCGCAACCCUUAUCCUUUGUUGCCAGCGGUUAGGCCGGGAACUCAAAGGAGACUGCCAGUGAUAAACUGGAGGAAGGUGGGGAUGACGUCAAGUCAUCAUGGCCCUUACGACCAGGGCUACACACGUGCUACAAUGGCGCAUACAAAGAGAAGCGACCUCGCGAGAGCAAGCGGACCUCAUAAAGUGCGUCGUAGUCCGGAUUGGAGUCUGCAACUCGACUCCAUGAAGUCGGAAUCGCUAGUAAUCGUGGAUCAGAAUGCCACGGUGAAUACGUUCCCGGGCCUUGUACACACCGCCCGUCACACCAUGGGAGUGGGUUGCAAAAGAAGUAGGUAGCUUAACCUUCGGGAGGGCGGUUACCACUUUGUUGAUUCAUGACUGGGGGGAAGUCGUAACAAGGUAACCGUAGGGGAACCUGCGGUUGGAUCACCUCCUUA
rnacentral:rRNA from 1 species